rnacentral:rRNA from 13 species
UACGGCGGCCAUAGCGAAGGGGAAAUACCCGGUCCCAUCCCGAACCCGGAAGUCAAGCCCUUCAGCGCCGAUGGUACUGCAACCGAGAGGCUGUGGGAGAGUAGGACGCCGCCGGAC